UACGGAGGGUGCAAGCGUUAUCCGGAUUCACUGGGUUUAAAGGGUGUGUAGGCGGGUCUUUAAGUCCGUGGUGAAAUCUCCAGGCUCAACCUGGAAACUGCCAUUGAUACUAUUUAUCUUGAAUAUCGUUGAGGUUGGCGGAAUAUAUCAUGUAGCGGUGAAAUGCAUAGAUAUGAUAUAGAACACCGAUUGCGAAGGCAGCUAACUAAGCGAUUAUUGACGCUGAGGCACGAAAGCGUGGGGAUCAAACAGG
rnacentral:rRNA from 1 species